rnacentral:rRNA from 1 species
GCCAGCAGCCGCGGUAAUUCCAGCUCCAAUACCGUAUAUUAAAGUUGUUGUGGUUAAAAAGCUCGUAGUUGAACCUUGGGCCUGGCUGGCCGGUCCGCCUCACCGCGUGUACUGGUCCGGCCGGGCCUUUCCCUCUGUGGAACCCCAUGCCCUUCACUGGGCGUGGCGGGGAAACAGGACUUUUACUUUGAAAAAAUUAGAGUGCUCCAGGCAGGCCUAUGCUCGAAUACAUUAGCAUGGAAUAAUGAAAUAGGACGCGCGGUUCUAUUUUGUUGGUUUCUAGGACCGCCGUAAUGAUUAAUAGGGACAGUCGGGGGCAUCAGUAUUCAAUGGUCAGAGGUGAAAUUCUUGGAUCCAUUGAAGACUAACUACUGCGAAAGCAUUUGUCAAGGAUGUUUUCAUUAAUCAGGAACGAAAGUUAGGGGAUCGAAGACGAUCAGAUACCGUCGUAGUCUUAACCAUAAACUAUGCCGACUAGGGAUCGGACGAUGUUAUUUUUUGACUCGUUCGGCACCUUACGAGAAAUCAAAGUGCUUGGGCUCCAGGGGAGUAUGGUCGCAAGGCUGAAACUUAAAGGAAUU